rnacentral:rRNA from 1 species
UACAGAGGGUGCGAGCGUUGUUCGGAAUUAUUGGGCGUAAAGAGCGCGUAGGCGGUCCGGUAAGUCAGCUGUGAAAGUCAAGGGCUCAACCCUUGAAAGCCGGUUGAUACUGUCGGGCUAGAGUCCGGAAGAGGCGAGUGGAAUUCCCGGUGUAGCGGUGAAAUGCGCAGAUAUCAGGAGGAACACCGGUGGCGAAGGCGGAUCUCUGGGCCUGUCCGUGACGCUGAGGCGCGAAAGCUAGGGGAGCGAACAGG